GAUGAACGCUGGCGGCGUGCUUAACACAUGCAAGUCGAACGAUGAAGCCCAGCUUGCUGGGUGGAUUAGUGGCGAACGGGUGAGUAACACGUGAGUAACCUGCCCUUAACUCUGGGAUAAGCCUGGGAAACUGGGUCUAAUACCGGAUAGGAGCGUCCACCGCAUGGUGGGUGUUGGAAAGAUUUAUCGGUUUUGGAUGGACUCGCGGCCUAUCAGCUUGUUGGUGAGGUAAUGGCUCACCAAGGCGACGACGGGUAGCCGGCCUGAGAGGGUGACCGGCCACACUGGGACUGAGACACGGCCCAGACUCCUAUGGGAGGCAGCAGUGGGGAAUAUUGCACAAUGGGCGCAAGCCUGAUGCAGCGACGCCGCGUGAGGGAUGACGGCCUUCGGGUUGUAAACCUCUUUCAGUAGGGAAGAAGCGAAAGUGACGGUACCUGCAGAAGAAGCACCGGCUAACUACGUG
rnacentral:rRNA from 1 species